CAAAUACACACUAGAGGUGAUGGCUCUCCAGUCCAUUCCCUUGGGAACACAUGGGCUGUCCCACUAAAUGAGUAGCUGGAAGUUCCUUAUCUCUAGGAAUUUCAUUACCCAGACUAGAUUGCACUACCCUAUUACGUGCAGACAUGGCAGCAUAUUGCAAAGAGCUCUUGUAAUAGUGCCCAAGUUUUUCACCAAUAGCUUCAGGCCUCCAUUCCUGAAAUCUUCCUAGAAGCCUCUUCAUGACCUUCAACCUCAGGAAGUGACAUCAAAGAGAAACUGCCAUUACACAUCCUUGGAAUGGACCCCUUCAGGUCAGAACAUCCCUGAUGUCACUCCUGGGUUUCUGACUGCUGCAUGUGCCAUCCAUCUGCAGACCCCAUGAGCGUCCAAUGCCCCCCGCCCCCGAGAGCUUCUGGUGUCACAGGCAGAACUGACUGCUCACAAGCUCCGGCUCCAGUGGGUCCCAGGCAGCGACGGGGGCCCCCCAUCCACUACUUCACUGUGCAGGUGUGAGAGCUGCCCCGGGAAGAGCAGCUGACCUACUCCUCAUCCUUCCACCACAAGUCCAAAGCCUGUGCUGUUGAAAUGUACCCAGCACCAGGCGCGCCCUCCCCAGGGAACAGAGCAGAGAAUACGUGUGGGACAGAGUCGCACCUGGACAGCUGAGAUCUCUUCUCCUAGUGCACACUCCCUGUACCAGGGACCAGGACUCACACCUCCUGGAGCCGCUCUGUCCUCUGCCCUGG